AAGUCGUAACAAGGUUUCCGUAGUGAACCUGCGGAAGGAUCAUUAACACGUAUCCAACGUUAAACCAUGAGUUACAUCCACGUCAUAAACCGGCAAUCUCUGGUAAAUCAUCGCCGAACAGUUUUUGAUUCAGAGACCGCGAGGCAAUUGACCUGGCAUUCCUCUGCUUGUUAGUGUCUGAAAGUGUCACUAGCUAUGUACCCUGAUCACAGCCUUUGCAUGAAAACGGGCCUGCGCUGAGGUGCGGCCACCCCUAAUGCUUGAACAACUGUUAACAAUGGAUAUCUUGGUUCUC
rnacentral:misc_RNA from 1 species